rnacentral:rRNA from 1 species
UACGUAGGCAGCGAGCGUUGUUCGGAAUUACUGGGCGUAAAGAGUGUGUAGGCGGUGCUCUAAGUUCGGUGUGAAAUCUCCUGGCUUAACUGGGAGGGUGCGCCGGAAACUGGAGUGCUCGAACGUGGGAGAGGAAAGCGGAAUUCCUGGUGUAGCGGUGAAAUGCGUAGAUAUCGGGAGGAACACCUGUGGCGAAAGCGGCUCACUGGACCACAACUGACGCUGAUGCACGAAAGCUAGGGGAGCAAACAGG